AUCGCGAAAGCGAGUAAGACCCCUUGAAGACGACGAGGUAGAUAGGUUAGAGGUGGAAGUGCAGUAAUGUACGGAGCUGACUAAUACUAAUCGGUCGAGGGCUUAUCCAGAA
rnacentral:rRNA from 1 species